GAAAUGCGAUAAGUAGUGUGAAUUGCAGAAUUCAGUGAAUCAUCGAAUCUUUGAACGCACAUUGCGCCCCUCGGUAUUCCGUGGGGCAUGCCUGUUCGAGCGUCAUCUACACCCUCAAGCUCUGCUUGGUGUUGGGCGUCUGUCCCGCCUCCGUGCGCGGACUCGCCCCAAAUGCAUUGGCAGCGGUCCUUGCCCCCUCUCGCGCAGCACAUUGCGCUUCUCGAGGCUGCGGCGGUCCGCAUCCAGUAAGCCAAACCACCCGUCUUUGACCUCGGAUCAGGUAGGGAUACCCGCUGAACUUAAGC
rnacentral:misc_RNA from 1 species